AGGAAACCUACGCCGGUUUGGGAUUUCGUUAUUUCAUUUUACAGACCGCCCCUAUGGCACUUCGUUAAAGUGUAAGGUUUCGUGACUUCAGUUCUUUCUUCUGCUAUUGAAAAGAGGAACCCAAAUAAAGAUUCUCGCCUAAACAUACUGCUUGCUCCUGCCUUUACUUCCUGACCAAAACCUGGUGCUCCUCCUGUGGCCUUGUGUGGUGAGCUGCUUGCCUCUUGUUUCCAGGGGAACUUUUUGGAGGCUGGGAAGUCCAAGAUCAUGACACAUAUGGACAGCCGUCUGGUGACCUAUGGAAAGGCCCAGAGGUGCCAUCUUCUUUUCUACAGCUGUUCUUGAUACCUGAUUCUUCAUUCAUUCAACUAACUGUAACUAUAAGCGUGCUGAGGCCAGAUGCCUGGUCCGCGUGGUUCAAGUCCGUAUUGGUGCCUGGCACAUAACGAGCACGCAACAAACACUUGUUAAAUGAGUGAACCAUGAUUUUACUGAGCGUUUCUGUGUGCCGCUUACAGCUCUGAGAGCUGAGAAUAGGGAAGUAAUGGCUACACUGCGCUUCCUCUGGAGGCUGACACUAGGAACAAAAACAGACGCGAAGUACUCUGCCUAACGGAGCGAACUCCCUCCCGGCUGAAACUAGAGCAGGGCGGCGCUGGGUGGCGUGCGCGUCUGCCGGGUCUCUGUUGGUCCGGUUCAUGCUCUUCCGGCUCCCGCAGCGCGGACCGAUCUGCAGCGCCAGUAGCGGGCUGGGGAGAGGCUUAAACGCCAGAUGAUUCCUCCCGACGGACUCGCCUGCGGCGUUCCGCUCUCGCUUCCAGACGCCUCCCGGUGCUCCAGGGUUCGGCGGCACACACCUGUCGACUGCCUCGGCCCAGCUGCGGCUCAGUCCCGCAGGACUCCAGGGAGCGAUGCCCUUACCCCGCCUCCUCCAGGCUGCGGACCAGAACAGCAGCGGGGCCUCAAAGGAAAAAUCCCGCCAACAAAAACAAAAACAGCAAAACCCCCCCAAAGUUUUUCCUCGCGACCUCACCCACUUCGCUGUGUGGAUGAGGCGUGGUGGUCUCGGGUUUGAAGGGCGAGGAAGUGCCUAAAGCGCAGCCUAGAGGGCAGCUGGCGUACUGCGCAGCCCUGGGAUGCUUUCCGCGGGUACCCGCGCAGGGUGCUGGAGCGUCCUCCGGGAGGUGCUUUCACUUGGGUCGGGAGUGGCGAACGCAGGCUGUGGUGCUUCCUCUCCAAGCCUCAGGUUUUAGCUGGAGCCAGAGAAACCGGCCUUGCCCAGGGGCCAGUCUCACGGACGGAAUUCCAAAGAGAACUUAAAGUUCUUUUAUCUUACGCCCCGAAUAGCUGCGAGAGGCGGCGGUUGCGGCGUGGGUGCAGCCAGGGGAAGCAGCAGCAGCGGGCGCCGCAAGCCGGGCGUGUGUGUUUCCUCUCUGGGCCAGCUUUUGCCAACCUGCCCGGCCUCGGAAGCCCAGGGAACAUACUAUCUUUUACUUAAGAGCUCUGAAGCCCUAUUACAUACUCUGCCUGACAUCUCCAAACACUGCCAACGCUCACAUUGUUGAGUGGCGAAUUCGGGGGUGGGGGUGGGAUUAGCAAAGGAAAAAUUAGGACCGCAAAGGAAAAAUUAAUUUCUCACUAGGUUUAUUGCAUCUGUACCCUCCUGUCACUUUUGUCUUACUUAAGGAUAAUGUUAAACUUCACCAGAUAUUUCAACUGACCAUUUCAACUUUUCCACCUACAAAAGUUUCCUGAUGAAAAAAGUCUUCCGUCUCGAUAGGCAUACUUUCUUGUUUGUGUUUCAUAAUAUACAGAAUUAUAUUGCCCAUCAUGGACACAGGAAACCAAUCACUACCUUUUACAGUCACAAUCAUUGGUUUUCUGUAUUUAUCCUUAGGAUUUAAUACUUAAAUUGGCUGCAAGUUUAUUCAGCUGUGGUUUUAACCCUUUGACUAAGGGGAAUUAUUUUACACAUUCAAACCUUUUUCUUUUUAAAAAGAAGUAAAUAAUUAUGAUGAAAAUAGUCUUUGGAGUCUUCCUGGUCUGCUCCAGGAACUGACUGACGUGCACCAAAUCCUUGACCUUGGUCUAAUUUCUACCAAACAUCAAAACCUGGGUCUAUUCCAAAUGUGAGCCUGGGACCGUGAAAGUGAACUGGACAAUCUUUUCCUGCAGGUGAUCCUGUCUUUCUUUGCAAUGGUCACAAGCUCCUCAGACCUUUUGAAAACUGUCUACAGUUACCUUGCAGUGCUCCUGAAAACGUGGGGGAAGAUCAUAUGUGAAGGGCCUGGAAGGGCCUAGAAUGAGGCUUGUCAAGCAUGGGCACAGCUGCUCCAUAAUAAGCGCCCAUUACGUGUUCAUGGAAAGCAUGAAAGAUGCAUGAAUUAAUACAGGGUGCUCACCCUGAGAGGUCUGUUACUCAAACUUUAAUAACAGACGACUAUGAGUUCCUGCUUCUCUUUUAUUUUUAUUGAUGUCUUUAUCACUAAAACGCUUCCUGCCUUGGGAAUUUGACGCCAGCCUGGUACAGUCGUGGGGGCACCUGCCUCCCUCUGAUUUCGGCACCCUGGCAUCCCUGGUAGUAGUGCCAGGCAGAGGACCGACAGGGUCCACAGAGGAGCCGUCCAGCGGCGCCUGCGUCCUCCCAGCAGCUUCUGGAACCCGCCCCGAGGCGCGUGGGUGCAUUCGUUUCAGUGAGGGCUUCUGUGACCGUGCGUGGCUAUCCAUGAGUAGCGUAGUCCCAAGGUCACCGCGACGCAAGCCGACCACUAAGAAGGUAUUGGAGCGGCCUGAAAUGUACAGAGGGAAGAGGCAAAGGUCUUGCGCGGAGAUCUGGGGCUACCCUUUCCUCUCCGCCUCCUUAGGAAAACAGCCUGAGUGCCUGAGGGGUCCAACCCCGGAAGGAGGGGAGAGAGAUCCCGGCCCCCGUCGGUUCCAAGCCCCGAAGGAGGCCUGGGCGUUCCUUCGCCCCGCGCGUGGGGCGUAGGCGCAGAGGCGAGGCCCCGCGCUGAGGCCGGCUGUCCCAUGGAGCCUCUUUGGUCGCCGCAGCGGGCUUCCCGGUGCUGGGUGUGGUGCCGUCCCAGUUAGCCCAGGGAUUGGGACGUCCCUCUUAGGCGGCAGGGGAGGGUCUCGGCCAGUCACGCAAAGAUCCCCAGCGUUCCUCUCAGUGCCUAGGCUUGCUCAGCAUUCUGGGCGUUUCUGCCGACGUCCGAGGUCGCACAAUUUUGCGAGGGCCUGGAGAAGCCAAUGGGGGAACUGAUGGAGUCACACUUCAUUCCUUUCUCACUUCUGUGUUUGUCAGAGGGAGCUUUGCUUGGAAUUUGCUGCACCAGAUAGUCACUUUGAUGGAAGGAAGUAUAAUCUUAUGCCCUGAGCAAUUGUUUUUGUAGAUGACCCCAUUAAAUCAUUGGAAAACUCGGCUAAAUGCAUUGCUCCAGAAAGAGGAAUCUUUUUGAGAUCCCAGAAUUCAUUAUAACAUUUGCUAUUUCUAGAAUGUAGAAUAGUUCGUUGGAAUUUAUUUUCCAAAAAGGAGGUAGAGUUCUAAUGCUAUUAUUACAAAUUUUCAAACAGUUUUUAAAAGGCCAAGCAAUGCUGAAAAGUAAAUUAGUUCUAAGUACAAGAGGGAAAAUACUAGUUACAAAAAUUAGUGAAAACAGCUAUUGAAAACUCGUUCCUCUUUUUAAUUAUCUUCCAGCAAUUGUCUUCCUAUUUCAAUCCCCAGUUUUGCAAGAGGAAAAAGCAAAGCAAAAUACCCACAUCUUAUACUUAGAUUACAGAUACUGUUGUCAAAUUAUUCAAAUGAACUCCCAAAGUUUCUUUUUUCUUUGAUGUGGACAUCUAACUACUUAGGCUUAAAAAGGUGGGCCGAAUCUUUCUUUAGGACAGGACUUCCCAAUUGUUAAAGCACUGGUUCCUUUCAAUUUGUGUAUGCAAGCUAAACCUUCCUUGAUCUUCUCAGAUGGAACAAUUCUACCAAACAGUGUAGAAAGUAUUGCCUAAUUUGGAGUGUGUUUUGGAAAGAAUAAGUUUGCUGAGAGCAAAAGGUCUUCUUUUCUCCUCCAACUAAUACCAUUUUUAUACAAGUAUCUUGUUUUAAAAUGAAUAUUUCAGCUUACCAGAUUUCCAUAUCCUUAGUCUUAGAUUUAUUUGGUAAUAUGAAAAAGGGACAGAUUCUUAAUUUUAACUUUCUCCCAUGUUUAUCACCUUGGGUGCCUAGAAUGAAAUGCCAUAGGUUAGGACUUGGAAGAAAUUACAACCAUCCUUACUUCACCAAUUCUUUCCAACUUAGAAGGGCAUAUAACUUUCUUCCUGAGAUCAAACAAUAUUUACUUUCCUUUUCCAUGUGUUAUCCCCCAGCCUUCCAUCCUAAUAACAGGAAGGCUUGAGAAUUAGUUCUCCAUUAUAUAGACAGUAUGAAAACAAGUAAGAGUGGUUUUCAUGGUCAACACACACUUUGAAUUUACUUUAUUGUCCCUGUAAAUAUUGUGUGGAGUCUAGUUAAUUCUCCACUGUCAUCAUCUUUAUAAUAUAAAAUAAUCAAAAUUAGAACUUGGUCAGUAAUGCUAUCCACCAUUUACACAAUAUCAAUAAUUUUUAAAAUUGCUUUAUUGGCUAUCUGGGAGCUUUAGCCUUGACUGCAUAGCUAUGGUUCCUUAAAAUGGAAUAAAUUUCA